UCUCCUGUGUAGCUCAGUGGUAGAGCGUCCGACCGAUUUGAGGAAGGCCGUCAUAGGUUCGUCUCCCGUUAGGAGAA